rnacentral:lncRNA from 1 species
UGAAACAUUUCAGAACAGUAUCUGUUGGCAAAACAAGCUCAAAUCUGCCUGCAGUGAGUAUUGUGAACUCAGCCUCGAUCCCCUCUUAGCAUGCAACAAGUGGUUGUGUCAUCUGUAAAAACUCAUCCCACUGCUGAGACUCUGAGAGCUCAAAAACACGAGAAGCAGAAACCAGCUCAUAUUUUAAAAAUAUUUUAACAAGGACAAGUCUCUUCUCAUGGCUUUUGUUUGGAAUGGAUCCUCCAAUCUUGCAAGCCUCUGACCCUUUCCAUAGUCACGUCCCAUAACUGACUCAUUACUG